rnacentral:tRNA from 1 species
CUAGGUGUAGCUCAGCUGGGAGAGCGCUACCUUGGGGUGGUAGAGGCCGCAGGUUCAAGUCCUGUCAAUUAGACCA